GAGAGGGGCAGAAAGAGAAGCAGAUUCCCUGUUGAGCAGGGGGCCUGAUGCGGCAUUCGAUCCCGGGACCCUGAGACCAUGACCUGAGCUGAAUGCAGAUGCUUAACCAACUGGACCCCCCAAGGGCCCUCGUUUAGCCAUUGAAAUGUUGUCUCACUAGACAUAAAUCUGAGAAACUCACAAAACCAAACCUGACUGGGAAGCACAAUGAAUCUUGUCCAAACAGGCAAUUGAAAGUUGACAAAUCGGACAGCCCAGUCCAUCACACUCCGGUGUCACUCUGCUGCGUUAGUCAACGGUGUGUAAAGCCGCCACCAGAGAGAAGACAAAGCAGGAGCUGGAGCGCUCUGAAAACACACACAUGGCUGAUGCACUCAGCAGCACCUCGCUUUCCCAUUUCAUUCUCUGCCUCUAUUCGGAUUUCUUUGGUUAUUUGUGGAGGAGGGGACUUUUGUCUUUGAUGCGUUUCCCUGGAGAAGGGAGCCACUUCCCAGAGCUCAGAAAGAAGCCUUGAUCUCCCAAAGAUUCUGCACAGAACACGAGUGGGGCGAGGGGUGAGGAACAGAGAGAGACAAGCAGACCGUGCUGAGUGCAA